AACCAUUCUCACCUGCGGCUAGACCUGCGGAAGGAUCAUUACUGAGUGUAAAAACUCCCAAACCCACUGUGAACAUACCACUGUUGCUUCGGCGGAUGCGCCCCGGGCGCGCCCUACAAAGGCGUGCCCCGGAUCAAGGCCACCGCCGGGGGACCGAAACUCUUGUUUUCCUAAGGAUUCUCUGAGUGUGAUUAUUAAAUCAAAUCAAAACUUUUAACAACGGAUCUCAGAUCGGAAGAG
rnacentral:misc_RNA from 1 species